rnacentral:rRNA from 1 species
AACGAACGCUGGCGGCAGGCCUAACACAUGCAAGUCGAGCGAGGACUUCGGUCCUAGCGGCGGACGGGUGAGUAACGCGUGGGAACGUGCCCUUUGCUUCGGAAUAGCCCUGGGAAACUGGGAGUAAUACCGGAUGAGCCCUUUGGGGGAAAGAUUUAUCGGCGAAGGAUCGGCCCGCGUUGGAUUAGGUAGUUGGUGGGGUAAUGGCCUACCACGCCGACGAUCCAUAGCUGGUUUGAGAGGAUGAUCAGCCACACUGGGACUGAGACACGGCCCAGACUCCUACGGGAGGCAGCAGUGGGGAAUCUUAGACAAUGGGGGAAACCCUGAUCGAGCCAUGCCGCGUGAGCGAUGAAGGCCUUAGGGUUGUAAAGCUCUUUCAGCUGGGAAGAUAAUGACGGUACCAGCAGAAGAAGCCCCGGCUAACUCCGUG